rnacentral:rRNA from 1 species
UGGGGAAUCUUGCACAAUGGGGGCAACCCUGAUGCAGCGACGCCGCGUGAGCGAUGAAGCCCCUCGGGGUGUAAAGCUCUUUCGGCAGGGAAGAUUAUGACGGUACCUGCAGAAUCAGCUGCGGCUAACUACGUGCCAGCAGCCGCGGUAAUACGUAGGCAGCAAGCGUUGUUCGGAGUUACUGGGCGUAAAGGGUGUGUAGGCGGUUCUCUAAGUUUGGUGUGAAAUCUCCCGGCUUAACCGGGAGGGUGCGUCGAAAACUGGAGGACUAGAGUGUGGGAUGGGUAAGUGGAAUUCCUGGUGUAGCGGUGAAAUGCGUAGAUAUCAGGAGGAACACCGGUGGUGUAGACGGCUUACUGGACCAUAACUGACGCUGAGACACGAAAGCGUGGGUAGCAAACAG